CGUGGGAACGUACCCUUUGGUUCGGAACAACCCAGGGAAACUUGGGCUAAUACCGGAUAAGCCCUCACGGGGAAAGAUUCAUCGCCGAAGGAUCGGCCCGCGUCUGAUUAGCUAGUUGGUGGGGUAAUGGCCCACCAAGGCGACGAUCAGUAGCUGGUCUGAGAGGAUGAUCAGCCUCACUGGGACUGAGACACGGCCCAGACUCCUACGGGAGGCAGCAGUGGGGAAUAUUGGACAAUGGGCGCAAGCCUGAUCCAGCCAUGCCGCGUGGGUGAUGAAGGCCCUAGGGUUGUAAAGCCCUUUCGGCGGGGAAGAUAAUGACGGUACCCGCAGAAGAAGCCCCGGCUAACUUCGUGCCAGCAGCCGCGGUAAUACGAAGGGGGCUAGCGUUGCUCGGAAUCACUGGGCGUAAAGCGCACGUAGGCGGAUUGUUAAGUCAGGGGUGAAAUCCUGGAGCUCAACUCCAGAACUGCCUUUGAUACUGGCGAUCUUGAGUCCGGGAGAGGUGAGUGGAACUGCGAGUGUAGAGGUGAAAUUCGUAGAUAUUCGCAAGAACACCAGUGGC
rnacentral:rRNA from 1 species